rnacentral:tRNA from 5 species
GGGGGAGUAGUUAAGUUGGUUAUAACGUCGCCCUGUCACGGCGAAGGCCGCGGGUUCGAGUCCCGUCUCUCCCGCCA